rnacentral:rRNA from 1 species
GAUGAACGCUGGCGGCGUGCCUAAUACAUGCAAGUCGAGCGAAUGGAUUAAGAGCUUGCUCUUAUGAAGUUAGCGGCGGACGGGUGAGUAACACGUGGGUAACCUGCCCAUACGACUGGGAUAACUCCGGGAAACCGGGGCUAAUACCGGAUAAUAUUUUGAACUGCAUGGUUCAAAAUUGAAAGGCGGCUUCGGCUGUCACUUAUGGAUGGACCCGCGUCGCAUUAGCUAGUUGGUGAGGUAACGGCUCACCAAGGCAACGAUGCGUAGCCGACCUGAGAGGGUGAUCGGCCACACUGGGACUGAGACACGGCCCAGACUCCUACGGGAGGCAGCAGUAGGGAAUCUUCCGCAAUGGACGAAAGUCUGACGGAGCAACGCCGCGUGAGUGAUGAAGGCUUUUGGGUCGUAAAACUCUGUUGUUAGGGAAGAACAAGUGCUAGUUGAAUAAGCUGGCACCUUGACGGUACCUAACCAGAAAGCCACGGCUAACUACGUGCCAGCCGCCGCCGUAA